ACUCAUACCUGGCAGGGGAGAUACUAUUGUUGUAAAGGUGGUUUUCCUGGGGUAAGGCUCAUCUAUUGCACUCUGGAUGUGCUGACCCCUGUGAUUUCCCCAAAUGUGGGAAAACCAACUGCCUAAGCAGGGGACUGUGUUUGUGGUUUCCCCUG
rnacentral:snRNA from 1 species